AGCACACGUUCUUCUAUUGGGGGUGGAAUAUGGGACUUAUUUUUCAAUUCACUCUCUUGUAAUUCUUCUUCUUCUUCUUCUUCUUCUUC
rnacentral:ribozyme from 1 species